UACGUAGGGGGCAAGCGUUGUCCGGAUUUAUUGGGCGUAAAGAGCGUGUAGGCGGUUUGGUAGGUCCGUUGUGAAAACUCGAGGCUCAACCUCGAGACGCCGGCGGAAACCAUCAGGCUAGAGUCCGGAAGAGGAGAGUGGAAUUCCUGGUGUAGCGGUGAAAUGCGCAGAUAUCAGGAAGAACACCCGUGGCUAAGGCGGCUCUCUAGUACGGUACUGACGCUGAGACGCGAAAGCGUGGGGAGCGAACAGGG
rnacentral:rRNA from 1 species